rnacentral:rRNA from 1 species
UUCCAGACUCCUACGGGAGGCAGCAGUGAGGAAUAUUGGUCAAUGGGCUUACGCCUGAACCAGCCAAGUCGCGUGAGGGAAGACUGCCCUAUGGGUUGUAAACCUCUUUUGUCAGGGAGCAAGGUGCAGGUCGGGACCCGCUGUGAGAGUACCUGAAGAAAAAGCAUCGGCUAACUCCGUGCCAGCAGCCGCGGUAAUACGGAGGAUGCGAGCGUUAUCCGGAUUUAUUGGGUUUAAAGGGUGCGCAGGCGGAGGCACAAGUCAGCGGUAAAAUCGCGGGGCUCAACCCCGCUCCGCCGUUGAAACUGUGUCCCUUGAGUGCGCGAAGGGUAGGCGGAAUGCGUGGUGUAGCGGUGAAAUGCAUAGAUAUCACGCAGAACUCCGAUUGCGAAGGCAGCGUACCGGCGCCCAACUGACGCUCAUGCACGAAAGCGUGGGUAUCGAACAGGAUUAGAUACCCUCGUA